rnacentral:lncRNA from 1 species
CUCUGUCUCUCUCUCUGUCUCUCUCUCUAACACACUUUGGAAGGUAUUUAGUUGACAGUGUCUUUUUCUCUACUCUGGGGAUAGUUUAGGAUGAAUCUAUAUUAGAGAUACUAUAGACCAGGGCUGGAGGAGAAGAGACAGAAUAGUUUAGGAUGAAUUUUUAUUAGAGAUACUAUAGACCAGGGCUGGAGGAGAAGAGACAGAAUAGUUUAGGAUGAAUCUAUAUUAGAGAUACUAUAGACCAGGGCUGGAGGAGAAGAGACAGAAUAGUUUAGGAUGAAUUUUUAUUAGAGAUACUAUAGACCAGGGCUGGAGGAGAAGAGGGUCUUUGGGGGGGAAGAGAAGAAAAUAGACAGGAAGAGGAAGGGAAGAGAGAAGGUUUAAAGACAGGGAGAGGAAGGGAAGACAGAAGGCUUAAAGACAGGGAGAGGAAGGGAAGAGAGAAGGCUUAAAGACAGUGAGAGGAAGGGAAGACAGAAGGUUUAAAGACAGGGAGAGGAAGGGAAGACAGAAGGUUUAAAGACAGGGAGAGGAAGGGAAGACAGAAGGUUUAAAGACAGGGAGAGGAAGGGAAGACAGAA